rnacentral:rRNA from 1 species
AUUGAACGCUGGCGGCAUGCCUUACACAUGCAAGUCGAACGGCAGCGGACCCUCGGGUGCCGGCGAGUGGCGAACGGGUGAGUAAUAUAUCGGAACGUACCUUUCAGUGGGGGAUAACGUAGCGAAAGUUACGCUAAUACCGCAUAUUCUGUGAGCAGGAAAGCAGGGGAUCGCAAGACCUUGCGCUGAUUGAGCGGCCGAUAUCAGAUUAGCUAGUUGGUGAGGUAAAGGCUCACCAAGGCGACGAUCUGUAGCGGGUCUGAGAGGAUGAUCCGCCACACUGGAACUGAGACACGGUCCAGACUCCUACGGGAGGCAGCAGUGGGGAAUUUUGGACAAUGGGCGCAAGCCUGAUCCAGCCAUGCCGCGUGAGUGAAGAAGGCCUGG